CGCUUCUCCCUUCCCACACGCUGCUGCCCAGUUGGAACACAGGCUUGCGUGCACGCGCGUACACACACACGCACGCACUCUGCGAGGACAAGCUGUGGGUUGCUUCCAUCCAGCUGCAGGCAGACACCUCACAGACCCAGCCGGCCCUUCCUAGAGCUCUUUUCAGCAGAGCCGCCAGCAGGGUGAGCUCUGGGGACUGGGGAGAGGCAAAUGUCACAGGAUGUGAGUGCCACCGCCGCCAAGUGACACCACACAGCCCUGGACGGGCUGAGCUGCCAGCGAUGGAUGGCCAGGCCAGCGAAACCGCUUCUUCCCCUGAGCAGCCGCAGAUUCCAGGUGGUUUCAGGAGGCUUGCACCCCCUCCCCCUUAUGAGCCUGGGGUCCCCCACUUUCUGGCUGGGUGACGCUAGAAGCUCCAGGGGCAUUUCAUGUAGAGGAGAUGGACUCUGAAGUCAGAGACCUGCCAGUCCCACAUCAACCACAAACUUCGCGGACGGCCUCAAGCAAGUCAUUUCCAUCUCCCUCUCCCUCAGUUUCCUGCAACCUUGACAAGACCCAGAAACACUUGAAGUGCCAGACCUCUGGGGCCAGGGGAUCUUCUGAGUGAGAUCUCCUGAGGAAGAGAGCCCCUGGGGAAGAAUAAAGCACUGAUCUUAAAACAGCAAGAGAGAACCUGGUGUUAAUUGAGCAGUUACUCUGUGCCCAGUGCAUUAUAAUGGUUAUCUCACUCAAACCUCACAGAAACCUGGUAACCACUCUGUUAUUAAUCUCAGUUUACAUAUAAAUAAAAAGAUUACAUAAUU